rnacentral:rRNA from 1 species
UAGGGAAGUCUUCCACAAUGGACGCAAGUCUGAUGGAGCAACGCCGCGUGAGUGAAGAAGGGUUUCGGCUCGUAAAGCUCUGUUGUUAAAGAAGAACGUGGGUAAGAGUAACUGUUUACCCAGUGACGGUAUUUAACCAGAAAGCCACGGCUAACUACGUGCCGG